rnacentral:rRNA from 1 species
GACGAACGCUGGCGGCGUGCUUAACACAUGCAAGUCGAACGGAAAGGCCCUGCUCUUGUGGGGUGCUCGAGUGGCGAACGGGUGAAUAACACGUGAGUAACCUGCCCUUGACUUUGGGAUAACUUCAGGAAACUGGGGCUAAUACCGGAUAGGAGCUCCUGCUGCAUGGUGGGGGUUGGAAAGUUUCGGCGGUUGGGGAUGGACUCGCGGCUUAUCAGCUUGUUGGUGGGGUAGUGGCUUACCAAGGCUUUGACGGGUAGCCGGCCUGAGAGGGUGACCGGCAACAUUGGGACUGGGAUACGGCCCAGACUCCUACGGGAGGCAGCAGUGGGGAAUAUUGCACAAUGGGCGGAAGCCUGAUGAAGCAACGCCGCGUGCGGGAUGACGGCCUUCGGGUUGUAAACGGCUUUCGCCUGUGACGAAGCGUGAGUGACGGUAAUGGGUAAAGAAGCACCGGCUAACUACGUG